UACGGAGGGUGCGAGCGUUAUCCGGAAUUACUGGGUUUAAAGGGUGCGUAGGCGGCUUUGUAAGUCAGGAGUGAAAGUUUGCGGCUCAACCGUAAAAUUGCUUUUGAUACUGCGAGGCUAGAAUUAGGAUGAGGUCAGCGGAAUGUGGCAUGUAGCGGUGAAAUGCGUAGAUAUGCCAUAGAACACCAAUUGCGAAGGCAGCUGGCUAGACCUGGAUUGACGCUGAGGCACGAAAGCGUGGGGAGCGAACAGG
rnacentral:rRNA from 1 species